UUCCAGUUCUUCUUCUUCCUCUUCUUCUCUUUCUUGGAUAGGAUUAUUUUUUAAAACAAAAUCAGAUGGGUGUACCUCCUUAUGUUGGCCAUCAUGUAUGAGAAUUCCUGAAGCAUCCAACUUGACAUCUAUUGAAGACCAAUGAAACCCUAAUGUUUCAUCCUCCUGAAAGUAUUCUUGCAAUUGGGGCUCUUCUUCUUCUUCGAGCAUAUAAUGAACGGUUCGAGACUUAACCUUAUAUACAGGCCACCAAUCUUUCCUUCCUUUCUCUCUUUUAGUGGAAAAGGAGUAUAAGAUACUUGAACAGCUUGUUGGGCUAACACA
rnacentral:lncRNA from 1 species